rnacentral:rRNA from 1 species
UACGAAGGGGGCUAGCGUUGCUCGGAAUCACUGGGCGUAAAGGGUGCGUAGGCGGGGCUUUAAGUCUGGGGUGAAAUCCUGGAGCUCAACUCCAGAACUGCCUUUGAUACUGAAGAUCUUGAGUCCGGGAGAGGUGAGUGGAACUGCGAGUGUAGAGGUGAAAUUCGUAGAUAUUCGCAAGAACACCAGUGGCGAAGGCGGCUCACUGGCCCGAUACUGACGCUGAGGCACGAAAGCGUGGGGAGCAAACAGG